CUAAUUCAUAAUAUGUUUAGGCCAAUGAAGGAUGGAUACGGAAUAGUUAUGAAGUAUCAAAUAAUUGUAAAGAAUGAUUUCAUAAUCAUUUUGUAGUGAAUUCAGGAAGUAGGCCCGUCCGGGACUCAAACCAGGGUCCGGUAACUGUCAAGCCAAGACUUUAAUGGUAACGCCAAGAGGUCUGGGUUAAGGUUACUAUAUUACCACCUUCCUUCAGGAGAGUGUCCCCACACUUCUCUAUACCAAGUCUCUCUCAUGUGUACACGCCUCUCCGAUGGCCUCACGGGUACCAUCCCAAUUCACUAGGUGUGGGUUAAGGUCUCCUACAAUAUCGAUUUUCAAGUAUGUUUUCAUAUUUCAUACACACACAGCCUAAAGCACAUGGUAUCUAAUGUUACAAAUAUAUCCAGCCAGGGUCAAUUACUUAUUUUGUAAUUUGUUUGAAUAGCUUUUUGUGUGUUUGUUUUCUUGACAUGAAGGACUUGUGGUGGUUUGAUAUGAAGAACAUGAAGGACUUGAGGUGGUUUGAUAUGAAGAACAUGAAGGACUUGAGGUUGUUUGAUAUGAAGCACUUGAGGUGGUUUGAUAUGAAGGACUUGAGGUGGUUUGAUAUGAAGGACAAUAGGUGGUUUGAUAUGAAGGACAAUAGGUGGUUUGAUAUGAAAUACAUGAGGUGGUUUGAUAUGAAGGACAAUAGGUGGUUUGAUAUGAAGGACAAGAGGUGGUUUGAUAUGAAGGACAUGAGGUGGUUUGAUAUGAAGGACAAGAGGUGGUUUGAUAUGAAGUACAUGAGGUGGUUUGAUAUGAAGGACAUGAGGUGGUUUGAUAUGAAGGACUCACAUACAACCAAACUUUAUUUAGAUCAUGCUGGAUUAAUCUGAUUCUGUUCAUACUGUACUAGGCUACCUAAGGUCUAGUAUGCACUAAUGCAGUGGUUCCCAACCAUUCUUUUGUUACUGUACCACCAACUGAAUUUUGCUCUGCCUGGAGUACCCCUGAAGUACCCCCUCGUGUAUUUUACCAGUAGGGCUAUGGGCUCAUGAGUCUUCUCAAGUACCCCUGUGGAUAGACCAGGUACCCCCAGGGGUCCUAGUACCACUGGUUGGGAACCACUGCAGUAAUGAACUCUUAAAGUGGAUGUGAAUGAAGGAUAUGCCAGCAUGUACAUUAGCUAGUGUUGAGAUUUUAAGAUACUAUUUUAAAUGUAAAAAGAAAAAAAAAAAACAUCUGCAUUUUGUACUGCAAUGUACGUACUCGCACGCACACUCACUCAGGAAUUACAUACGACGUUAAUACACCUUUGUUACAUAUUUAUUGUGGAUAAUAUAUUUACUAUUUAGUCACGAUCUCAACAUCUCUGUUUUGAAUGGACAAUGCCUACUGGCAUCAUUGUUUACAGUCUGCUAAAAGUUUACUUCAGAGAUGUAUAUGAAGAAAAAACAUCUACAAUAUUGUAAAUAAAUGUGUAAAUAUGUAAUUUGGUUUACUUUGUGUUUUAUUUUCACUUAACAAUAACAGAUAUGGUGAAGAAAGCUAAAUACAUCUAAAAUGUUAAAUACAUCUUAAAUAAAAUAAAAUGUUAUUGGUCAC
rnacentral:lncRNA from 1 species